rnacentral:rRNA from 1 species
CUACGGGAUGCAGCAGUGAGGAAUAUUGGACAAUGGUCGAAAGACUGAUCCAGCCAUGCCGCGUGCAGGAUGACUGCCCUAUGGGUUGUAAACUGCUUUUAUACGGGAAGAAAAACACCUACGUGUAGGUGACUGACGGUACCGUAAGAAUAAGGACCGGCUAACUCCGUGCCAGCAGCCGCGGUAAUACGGAGGGUCCAAGCGUUAUCCGUAAUCAUUGGGUUUAAAGGGUCCGUAGGCGGGCUAUUAAGUCAGAGGUGAAAGUUUGCAGCUCAACUGUAAAAUUGCCUUUGAUACUGAUAGUCUUGAAUUGUAGUGAAGUGGUUAGAAUAUGUGGUGUAGCGGUGAAAUGCAUAGAUAUCACAUAGAAUACCGAUUGCGAAGGCAGAUCACUAACUAUAUAUUGACGCUGAGGGACGAAAGCGUGGGGAGCGAACGGGAUUAGAUACCCUCGUAGUC